AGGACGAACGCUGGCGGCGUGCUUAACACAUGCAAGUCGAGCGGAAAGGCCCUUUCGGGGGUACUCGAGCGGCGAACGGGUGAGUAACACGUGAGUAACCUGCCUUCAGCUUUGGGAUAACCCUCGGAAACGGGGGCUAAUACCGGGUAUUCACUCUGGGGGGCAUCUUCUGGGGUGGAAAGUUUUUCGGCUGGAGAUGGGCUCGCGGCCUAUCAGCUUGUUGGUGGGGUAAUGGCCUACCAAGGCGGCGACGGGUAGCCGGCCUGAGAGGGCGACCGGCCACGACUGGGACUGAGACACGGCCCAGACUCCUACGGGAGGCAGCAGUGGGGAAUUGUUCGCAAUGGGCGCAAGCCUGACGACGCAACGCCGCGUGGAGGAUGAAGGUCUUCGGAUUGUAAACUCCUGUUGACCGGGACGAAUGAGUGCCGACCUAACACGUCGGUGCAGUGACGGUACCGGUUGAGGAAGCCACGGCUAACUCUGUGCCAGCAGCCGC
rnacentral:rRNA from 1 species